rnacentral:rRNA from 1 species
CUACGGGAGGCACCAGUGAGGAAUAUUGCACAAUGGGGGGAACCCUGAUGCAGCAACGCCGCGUGGAGGAUGACGCAUUUCGGUGUGUAAACUCCUUUUAUAUGUCAAGAAAAUGACGGUAGCAUAUGAAUAAGCACCGGCUAACUCCGUGCCAGCAGCCGCGGUAAUACGGAGGGUGCAAGCGUUACUCGGAAUCACUGGGCGUAAAGGACGCGUAGGCGGGUUGGAAAGUCAGGUGUGAAAUCCUACAGCUUAACUGUAGAACUGCACUUGAAACUUCUAAUCUAGAGUAUGGUAGGGGGAGAUGGAAUUAGUGGUGUAGGGGUAAAAUCCGUAGAUAUCACUAGGAAUACCUAAAGCGAAGGCGAUCUCCUGGAACAUUACUGACGCUAAGGCGUGAAAGCGUGGGGAGCAAACAGGAUUAGAUACCCUUGAGUC